ACCAGAGUCAAGGUGUAAGCAGUACAUUGGUGAUGUCGAAGUCGAGAGUUGCACCACUGAAACGACUUUCACUGCCAAGACUGGAGCUAAUGGGAGCUUUAAUCGGAGAGAGACUCUCUCAUUUCCUCAAAGAAGCAACUGGCCCGCGAAAUAUUAAGGUCCACUUCUCGACGGAUUCGACCGUGGCGCUUCACUGGAUUAAGAGUUCUACGGACAAAUGGAAGCAGUUUGUGGCUAACAGAGUGACUGAAGUGCAGGACCUAUCCAACCCCCCAAAAGCUGGUCACAUUGUCCAGGGAAGGAAAGUCCUGUCGAUAUGCUGACCCGAGGUUUUCUGCCGUCAACACUCGUACGCAGCAGUACAUGGUGGAAAGGUCCUCCGUGGUUGCGCAUGCCUGUAAGUAACUGGCCGGCGCAAAUCACAGAACAACUCACUCGAUAUAUGUUUCAGAAGCAAAGAAGGGGACCACCACAAGUGUUGCAGGUUACCAUCACCACAAACCUAGAAGGAAUCUUUCCCUUGGAGAACUACAGUUCCUACACAAGGGGAUAGGCCUCACUGAAUAACAAGUUCAGGUCCUGCAUUCAGCAGCUGAAGCCUGACCUGCCACGUUUUCAAGUUGAACCCCACGCGCGUUCAACUCCACCUUGGACACUCCCUCUGCCAUCUGCUUCACUAUCCAUUCCCGGGCUGCAGAGAAAGGAUGAUGUCGGAAGGUGUGUCCAAGGCGCUCACACUGGAUCUGAU